UUUAUCGAGAGUUUGAUCCUGGCUCAGGAUGAACGCUGGCGGCGUGCCUAACACAUUCAAGUCGAACGGUGAAG
rfam:Firmicutes bacterium CAG:272 genomic scaffold, scf47